GUCAACAACGGAAAGAGCGGCUGCCGCACUUACACACCUUGCCGCCGUUGCCCACUUAAGCAGCACGGCUCUGGUCUUGGUUAUGUCGAAAACAACAGAGGGGGCGGCAAACCUCUCGCUGUCUUAAAGUACUUUUGUAUAAAGUAUUGACGUAGCUGGUGGGGAAACCAUUUGGAUUCCUUUAAAAAUAUUACCGAUGCAACAAGAUCUGUCAUUUCUCAAGAACAUGUCUGAUUCUUUCUUCUCCACAGACAGGUUUUUGGUCCCUGUCAGAGAUCUCAGUCUUUCUGACUCCUUCAGUUUUUUCACCCGUUUCUCCGCCGCCUGCCUGCCUGCUCACAAGAAUGCCAGCAAGAAAUCACUGUUGCACAUUCAUGAGAAGCUGUCAAUAAAACUGUAAAAAAAAAUGUA